UCCUGCCAGUAGUCAUAUGCUUGUCUCAAAGAUUAAGCCAUGCAUGUCUAAGUCCAAGCUGUGUUCACACGGCGAGACCGCGGACGGCUCAUUAAAUCAGUCGUGGUCCAAAUGGGCCAGUGCAAAUCCUACUUGGAUAACUGUGGUAAUUCCAGAGCUAAUACAUGCAACUGAUAUCCCGAAGGCGGUGUUGGGGCUUGCUUGCCUUGCGCUGCGCUGCUCUGACGGAUGCUUUUAUUAGACCAAGCCGCUGAGGACUUGAGGGUUCGCGCUCUCUUGUUUGACUCGUGUGAUGGUGACUCUGGAUAACCAAAUUCUGACAAGCGCACGUACUUCUCUUCUGAGCGAGACGGCGCUGCCACUUUCGAGUGUCUGCCUUAUCAGCUAUCAACCGUUCGUUAUGCGCGACCGAUGGCUUUGACGGGUAACGGGGAAUCAGGGUUCGAUUCCGGAGAGGCAGCCUGAGAGACGGCUACCACGUCCAAGGACGGCAGCAGGCACGCAAAUUACCCAAUCCCAGCAAAUGGGGGAGGUAGUGACGAAAUCUAACGAUGCGGGCGCCCUUUCUGGGGCCCCGCAAUCGGAAUGGGCACUUUCUAAACAACCUGUUGAGAACCUACUGAAGGGCAAGUCUGGU
rnacentral:rRNA from 1 species